UGGGGAAUUGUUCGCAAUGGGCGCAAGCCUGACGACGCAACGCCGCGUGGAGGAUGAAGGUCUUCGGAUUGUAAACUCCUGUUGAUCGGGACGAAAAGCUUCAACCUAAUACGUUGAAGACUGACGGUACCGGUUGAGGAAGCCACGGCUAACUCUGUGCCAGCAGCCGCGGUAAUACGUAGGGACCAAGCGUUGUUCGGAUUUACUGGGCGUAAAGGGCGCGUAGGCGGCAUGACAAGUCACUUGUGAAAUCUCUGGGCUUAACCCAGAACGGCCAAGUGAUACUGUCGCGCUAGAGUGCAGAAGGGGCAAUCGGAAUUCUUGGUGUAGCGGUGAAAUGCGUAGAUAUCAAGAGGAACACCUGAGGUGAAGACGGGUUGCUGGGCUGACACUGACGCUGUAGCGCGAAAGCGUGGGGAUCAAACAGGAUUAGAUACCCUCGUAGUCCCUGAGCGGGCUGGCAAGGCGCAU
rnacentral:rRNA from 1 species